rnacentral:lncRNA from 1 species
AACCCGCCACAGUCAAACUGGUGGCUUCCCCAGGCUCGUCAGCAGCACGAACAUCACUGCUCUGGCAACUUCCCACGCUGCAGCAAGAAUCUGCACAAACCAAAAUGAGACCACACGCAAGAGAAGGGCUGAGCAGCGCUAGCAGAGAACCGCGAGUGGCAGCACCUUCAGCACGGCUGAACACAGCAGAGGUGGUGGGCAGCCUCUGGCACCACAGCACUGCACUUCUGCAGAAAACACGCUUGAGUCAGAAAACCUCCCUGCUGUUGUUUAUCCGGGCAAGCAGGCAAGUUGUAGUGCUUCCAUGGAAGAGAAGGGAAGACAGGGAGCGUCGUUUGCUCAGCUGCCUCCCAAGAGGGCACGCUCCUGGAUAGGCGUUGCACACUGCUGUCUCUUUGCUGCAGUCUGGAGUUGAGCAGCUGUGAACUCCUCUGGGUGCAGGAUGGGGGCAGAGCAUGGGCUUGUAAGAUCCCAGUGCUUCAGCCCUUCUUCCUUCACCUCCCG